rnacentral:rRNA from 1 species
AUUGAACGCUGGCGGCAGGCCUAACACAUGCAAGUCGAGCGAGCGGCGGACGGGUGAGUAAUGUCAGGGAAACUGCCUGAUGGAGGGGGAUAACUACUGGAAACGGUAGAUAAUACCGCAUACCCUCAGAUGUGCCCAGAUGGGAUUAGCUGGUAGGUGGGGUAACGGCGCACCUAGGCGAAGAUCCCUAGCUGGUCUGAGAGGAUGAACAGCCACACUGGAACUGAGACACGGCCCAGACUCCGACGGUAGGCAGCAGUGGGGACUAUUGCACAAUGGUCGCAAGCCUGAGGCAGCCAUGCCGGGUGUGUGAAGAAGGCCUUCGGGUUGUAAAGCACUUUCAGCGGUGAGGCGUUACCCGCAGAAGAAGCACCGGCUAACUCCGUGCCAGCAGCCGCGGUAAUUC